UACGAAGGGUGCAAGCGUUACUCGGAAUUACUGGGCGUAAAGCGUGCGUAGGCGGUUUGUUAAGUCUGUCGUGAAAGCCCUGGGCUCAACCUGGGAAUUGCGAUGGAUACUGGCAAGCUAGAGUACGGUAGAGGAUGGUGGAAUUCCCGGUGUAGCGGUGAAAUGCGUAGAUAUCAAGUGGAACACCAGUGGCGAAGGCGAGUCUCUGGACAUUUCCUGACGCUGAGGCACGAAAGCCAGGGGAGCAAACGGG
rnacentral:rRNA from 1 species